AUUGAACGCUGGCGGCAGGCUUAACACAUGCAAGUCGAACGAUGACUCUCUAGCUUGCUAGAGAAGAUUAGUGGCGGACGGGUGAGUAACAUUUAGGAAUCUGCCUAGUAGUGGGGGAUAGCUCGGGGAAACUCGAAUUAAUACCGCAUACGACCUACGGGUGAAAGGGGGCGCAAGCUCUUGCUAUUAGAUGAGCCUAAAUCAGAUUAGCUAGUUGGUGGGGUAAAGGCCCACCAAGGCGACGAUCUGUAACUGGUCUGAGAGGAUGAUCAGUCACACCGGAACUGAGACACGGUCCGGACUCCUACGGGAGGCAGCAGUGGGGAAUAUUGGACAAUGGGGGCAACCCUGAUCCAGCCAUGCCGCGUGUGUGAAGAAGGCCUUUUGGUUGUAAAGCACUUUAAGCAGGGAGGAGAGGCUAAUGGUUAAUACCCAUUAGAUUAGACGUUACCUGCAGAAUAAGCACCGGCUAACUCUGUGCCAGCAGCCGCGGUAAUACAGAGGGUGCGAGCGUUAAUCGGAAUUACUGGGCGUAAAGCGAGUGUAGGUGGCUCAUUAAGUCACAUGUGAAAUCCCCGGGCUUAACCUGGGAACUGCAUGUGAUACUGGUGGUGCUAGAAUAUGUGAGAGGGAAGUAGAAUUCCAGGUGUAGCGGUGAAAUGCGUAGAGAUCUGGAGGAAUACCGAUGGCGAAGGCAGCUUCCUGGCAUAAUAUUGACACUGAGAUUCGAAAGCGUGGGUAGCAAACAGGAUUAGAUACCCUGGUAGUCCACGCCGUAAACGAUGUCUACUAGCCGUUGGGGUCCUUGAGACUUUAGUGGCGCAGUUAACGCGAUAAGUAGACCGCCUGGGGAGUACGGCCGCAAGGUUAAAACUCAAAUGAAUUGACGGGGGCCCGCACAAGCGGUGGAGCAUGUGGUUUAAUUCGAUGCAACGCGAAGAACCUUACCUGGUCUUGACAUAGUGAGAAUCCUGCAGAGAUGCGGGAGUGCCUUCGGGAAUUCACAUACAGGUGCUGCAUGGCUGUCGUCAGCUCGUGUCGUGAGAUGUUGGGUUAAGUCCCGCAACGAGCGCAACCCUUUUCCUUAUUUGCCAGCGGGUUAAGCCGGGAACUUUAAGGAUACUGCCAGUGACAAACUGGAGGAAGGCGGGGACGACGUCAAGUCAUCAUGGCCCUUACGACCAGGGCUACACACGUGCUACAAUGGUAGGUACAGAGGGUUGCUACACAGCGAUGUGAUGCUAAUCUCAAAAAGCCUAUCGUAGUCCGGAUUGGAGUCUGCAACUCGACUCCAUGAAGUCGGAAUCGCUAGUAAUCGCGGAUCAGAAUGCCGCGGUGAAUACGUUCCCGGGCCU
rnacentral:rRNA from 1 species